AGAAACUCAACUUUUUCUUUAAGGACUUUUUUGCUACCUUUCCUACAAAAACUACCAGAUUACUUCUUGACCUCUACUUUGAGACCUCUACUUUGAGGAAGUCUUGCUGUACAAUAUUGCCUUAGUAGCUCUGACGCUUACAGAAGAUCUGUCAUAAACCAAAUAAGUACGUGAGACAACCCAGGACAACUUCCUAAAAUUUUCUUCAAAACGAAGGUAUUUAAUAUAUGGUUUUCAUAUACAGAUACAGAAAUAUUGUGUUACAGGACCCAAAGAAAAAGAAGAAACAUUAGUUGCAGACUCUAGAAGUGGGUUUGUCGUGCAUGUAUUAUGAAUUGGUUGUUGAAUUAAAUUAGUGGUUCAGAAGUAUCUAUUUAAAUCCAUAUUGUUGACAUUACAGUGAAAGCAGUGAAACUUGUCAGCAGAUGAUUAAGUUUUAUGGUUGAUGUCCACACUUUUGUAGCUUGGGAACAAUAUCAAGUUUCUGGGAAAAACAUCCUUCCUCUCUCCCCACCCUCCCUCUAUCAUAUUAAAUCAGGGUCUCAGCCUAUUGGUGAUGGUUGUGUUCUCCAAAUAAAGAUGUAUCAAAAUCA